GACGAACGCUGGCGGCGUGCCUAAUACAUGCAAGUAGAACGCACAGUUUAUACCGUAGCUUGCUACACCAUAGACUGUGAGUUGCGAACGGGUGAGUAACGCGUAGGUAACCUGCCUGGUAGCGGGGGAUAACUAUUGGAAACGAUAGCUAAUACCGCAUAAUAUUAAUUAUUGCAUGAUAAUUAAUUGAAAGGUGCAAUUGCACCACUACCAGAUGGACCUGCGUUGUAUUAGCUAGUAGGUGAGGUAACGGCUCACCUAGGCGACGAUACAUAGCCGACCUGAGAGGGUGAUCGGCCACACUGGGAAUGAGACACGGCCCAGACUCCUACGGGAGGCAGCAGUAGGGAAUCUUCGGCAAUGGACGAAAGUCUGACCGAGCAACGCCGCGUGAGUGAAGAAGGUUUUCGGAUCGUAAAGCUCUGUUGUAAGAGAAGAACGGGCGUGAGAGUGGAAAGUUCACACUGUGACGGUAUCUUACCAGAAAGGGACGGCUAACUACGUG
rnacentral:rRNA from 1 species